UACGGAGGGGACUAGCGUUGUUCGGAAUUACUGGGCGUAAAGCGCGCGUAGGCGGAUUUGCAAGUCGGGGGUGAAAGCCCGAGGCUCAACCUCGGAACUGCCCUCGAUACUGCAAAUCUCGAGUCCGAGAGAGGUGAGUGGAAUUCCUAGUGUAGAGGUGAAAUUCGUAGAUAUUAGGAAGAACACCAGUGGCGAAGGCGGCUCACUGGCGCGGUACUGACGCUGAGGCGCGAAAGCGUGGGGAGCAAACAGG
rnacentral:rRNA from 1 species